AGGAACUUGUAUACCAUGCGUAAAAUUAAACCGGCCCAGAAGAUGUGAAGAGCCUGAAGCACCAUCAGCAGGACAUUGAAAAGAGAUCCGGAGGAGCAAAGAGCCGUAAAAACCCAACUCUAGCAUGUAGUACCAGUAAUGAGCUCUCUCCAUGGGCUGUGAAUGAAACAUAAAGAAGUCAAUAAACAGGAUUCAAAGGCACCUGGACAAUUCAUGGUAAAUCCGCUGGAAAAACUGUAUGUCACACUUUGUUUUUAGAAAAAGGUUAAUGAAAUGAUAACAUAAAUGAAAUAGAGUAAAAACAGUAGUGGUUUAACAGAUAAGUGAUCAACUGAGCAUAAAUUGGUAACUAUUUUGCUGAUUAUAAGCUCUGUUUUGUAAUCACAGGGACAUAUAGUUAUGUUUUAUAACUACUCAAACUUGAAUGUUCUUUUCCAUGUUCCUCUCUGUGAUAGUGAAGCACUCAAUCUGGAAGAUCGAGUCUAAAACCGUGAAAUAAAAUACUCAUUGUU